GCAAUGCGGGUUACGUAUUGCUUGGCUCAGAUUGAACGCUGGCGGGAUGCUUACACACAAGUCGAACGGCAGCACGGACUUCGGUCUGUAGGCGAGUGGCGAACGGGUGAGUAAUGUAUCGGAACGCCUAGUAGCGGGGAUAACUACGCGAAAGUGUAGCUAAUACCGUACAUCAUUCUUCGGGGGAAAGCGGGGACCCGGGCCUCGCACUAUUAGAGCGGCCGAUAUCGGAUUAGCUAGUUGGUGGGGUAACGGCUCACCAAGGCGACGAUCCGUAGCUGGUUUGAGAGGACGACCAGCCACACGGACUGGGAGACACGGCCCAGACUCUACGGGAGGCAGCAGUGGGGAAUUUUGGACAAUGGGGAAACUUUAUCCAGCCAUCCCGCAAAGGAUGAAGCAUUUUCGGGUUGUAAAGCACUUUUGGCAGGAAAGAAACGGCACAAGGAUAAUACCCUGCAACUGACGGUACCUGCAGAAUAAGCACUGGCUAACUACGCCAGCAGCCGCGGUAAUACGUAGGGUGCAAGCGUUAAUCGGAAUUACUGGGCGUAAAGCGUGCGCAGGCGGUUCGGAAAGAAAGAUGAAAUCCAGAGCUUAACUUUGGAACUGCAUUUUUGAAUUACCGGAGCUGAGCAAAGUCAGAGGGAGGUGGACCGCGUGUAGCAGUGAAAUGCGUAGAUAUGCGUGAGGAACACCACAUGGCGAAGCGCAGCCUCCUGGGCAACACUAUCGCCUGCAUCGAAAGCGUGGGGCGAAACAGGAUUACAGACAACUGGUGGUCCACGCUCAAACGAUGUCAACUAGCUGUUGGGGGCCUUCGGGCCUUGUAGCGCGCAGCUAACGCGUGGUUGACCGCCUGGGGAGUACGGUCGCAAGAUUAAAAAAACUCAACCGGAAUUGACGGGACCCGCACAAGCGGUGGAUGAUGGGAUUAAUUCGAUGUGAAUGCGAAAACUCCAUCACCUUUGAUAAACUGGGAACUGAAGAGAUUGGGAGGCUCGCAAGAGAACCGAACACAGGUGCUACGGUUGCCGUCAGCUCGUGCCGUGAGACGUUGGGCCAAGUCCCGCAACGAGCGCAACCUGCCGUUAGUUGCUGAAGAAAGGGCACUCUACCGAGAUCACGAAGAUAAACUGGAGGAAGGUGGGGAUGACGUCAAGUCCUCAUGGCCCUUAAGGUAGGCCACACGUCAUACAAUGGUCGGGACAGAGGGUCGCCAACCCGCGAGGGAGCCAAUCCCAGAAACCCGAUCGUAGUCCGGAUCGCAGUCUGCAACUGGACUGCGGAAGGAAUCACAAUCGCGGAUCAGCAUGUCGCGGUGAAUACGUUCCCGGGUCUUGUACACACCGCCCGUCACACCAUGGGAGUGGGUUUUACCAGAAGUAGUUAGCCUAACCGUAAGGAGGGCGAUUACCACGGUAGGAUUCAUGAUCAGUAGAAGUCGUAACAAGGUAA
rnacentral:rRNA from 1 species